rnacentral:lncRNA from 1 species
UGUGUGGGAGCAAAGCAAUGACACAAGUGGUGGUAAGUGAGGAAGAUGGAGCAGAAGAUGAAAUUGUUUUCAGCAAAUUGAAGACAUUGUCUCUGCUUGAUUUAGAUAGCCUCACAAGUUUCUACUCUGGCAAUUACACCUUCAAAUUCCCAUCUCUACAAGAUUUAGAAGUGAUUGGUUGUCCCAAGAUGAAGAUUUUCACCACAGGAGAAUUAUGCACACCGCCGAGAGUAAAUGUCUGGUAUGGAGAGGGAGAUGGUGAAUGUCGUUGGGCUAAUGACCUUAACGUUACGAUACAAGAGUUGCAUGCUGAAAAGGUACGGUUAACCCACCAACUUAACUCCCAAGGAAAAAUUUUACAAAUUUGCACUUUUUAACAAAAUUUAGAAAAUAGAUCAUGGACAACCAAGUUUGACUCAUUAGAAUAUUUAUUAUUGAGUAAGUGCAUGAUCGGGUUUGAAAAAGUAUGAGACACUUCUGUAUGUAGUUCUUGAAACUGUCCAAUUUAAAACAGACAUAUUCAAUUCUCAAAAAAUCAUGAAUCAUUAGUUUUAACUUCAUAAUAUAAAAGUCGUGUCAAAUUAAUGAAUGAGAAUUUUGUUUUCAGAUGUUGGAGGGGUCGUCAUCUAACUUGAGGAAGUACGAUUGGUGAUCAUGUUGGCUUUUUAAUUUAUUACUUGGAGUUGUGAAUUUGAAGAAUAAAGUCCCAGGUAAAUAAUUUAAUUUCCCUUAUUUGAUCUCAUAGCUUGUUUCAUCGGUUCACCUGAACUAUUUAGAUUGCGUCACUGGUUUAUUGUUAACUUUAAAAUGAAGUUUUAAUGUUUCAUUCGGGGCUUUAUGAGCAAAUUUUACAUCAUUGAAUGUCCUUUGGUCUGAACUUUUGAGCUUUUUGUUUGAUAGUCAAGGCUUUAUAGUAUGCUAUUUAUAAUUCCUUAAGAAUGUGCAAAAUUUUUUAUGAUAAAAUUGCUUGAAUAUGUCAUUGAAAGGAACUUCUAUGUUGCUCUUUAUGAUUACAGAGUUCUCAAUGUUAUCACUCUUCUUUUGCAGGAUGUGGAAUCAAAGAUACUUUUCUAUGAAAUUUGUGUUCCUUGUAUUAAAAGUUUACAUGCUGAAGGGCUUCCUGUGUUAUCUUUGCUGUUCUACUUGUGCUUUACUUCAUUGUGUCGCUACAGCUUUGUGAGUGUUAUGUUAACUAUUGUUUCCUUCAUUUGGGCAUUGUAAGUUUCGAAGGCGCUACAUUGCUUGACUAAAGAUGCUUAAAUUUAUCAUCUGUUUGUACCCCUUGUAUUAUAUACAAUAAAUUUUUGAUGUAUUUUGACAUUUAAUACGAGAUAUGUUUGAAUUUUCAUUGAAAGGUUUCAUAAUUGUUCAAAUUUAUCUUCAGUUUUAUUUUUGUUAUCUUGUUGGAACCAAAUUGACAACCAAGAUCAAUUUGGAACACCCAAGAUCCACUCUAAGAAACUUGAUCUUAACUAGGUCUGAUACUAGACUGAGUUUAAGAAGAAAUUUGCCUAGGUAAGUGGAAUCAAACACAACUCAAGGAACAAAAGCAGAAAAGAAAGAAAACAGAUCUCACACACAGCACCAAGAUUUAUAGUGGUUCGGCCAUUUUCUUGCCUAUAUCCACUGUGAAAAGAGAAGCAAGCUUUCACUGAUUUCAGAGAUUACAAGUCACAGAGAUGAAGAGUAUGUGUAACAGAAUCGAAACCCCUCAGUAACAGAUCAUAGAGCCUUUUACAUUUCAAUCAAAACCCUCUAAAAGGACCCCAAACAAUCAGCUCACGCUCCUGGGUUUCUCAGCUAAGCAAUCCCAGCUGCAUCUGCAUCCCGCGUGAAUUAACUGAAUUAACAGCUUCUGGAACUGCUCAGGGACACUUGUCAAAUGCUCGUAUAAUUUGCUACUUCAAAAACCGACAUGACAUCACUUCCUUCCCCAAGCAUCAGACACGUCAUACACAUUCCCGAAUCCAGAUUUGAGCUUCCCCUCUUCAGCAUAUCUCAAAUACAUGUUAGGCCUUGCAUGCAUAGACGCACGUAAUAUCCCAGAAGAGUUUUAUCAGAUGAUUUUACUAUCAUCGUUGUUGUUGCUGCUCCCGCCGCCGCCAUUAUUACUAUUAUUAUACUACUACUUGAAAAUUUCAAGUAUUUUAGAUGAGAAAUUUAUUAUGUUAGAGAUAUUCAUAAUAUACAUGAUGCUGAAAUCAGGGAAUUUGUUGUCUCAGUUUGUUUUAUUUUUGUUUGCCUCGAAUCAAAUUUUGAAAUUUAAGAACUAUGGUAAGAGAUGGAACAAGAGGAGUUAAAAAAUUUGCCAAAAUUGAUGUAGCAAUGAAACAAUUGUAUCCUAACAUGUUUAGCAUCAUUCUACUUUAUGAUCAUUGUUGUUCCGUUAUUUUAGUUCUUGCUCUGUUUGUUCUGUUUCUCUGUUUAUUUCACUGGGGGUUUGCUUCACAAAAUCUUACUUUCAAAAUUUAGAAGGCAAGGAAAGAGCGCUUCGAAAAUGCAAGAGGUAUCAAAUCAUGCAUUAAAAAACUUGUUGGCUGCUGGCUGGUCUAUUUCAUUGGCACCGAUCGAAUCAUUAUCCCUAAAAUAAUUAGGAGUCGGAGAUAUAAGUGUGAAAAUAACAGGAUCAUUUACAACAUGGAAAUCAGUCGCCAUUGGUAGGUGGCGCUGCAUAUGAUAAUAACAACUGAUUGAUACCAACAAAGUGUUGGCUCCACUGGUAAUGGAGUCCCCUUAAGUGGCUUGACUGGAUUUGCUCCCCAGUUCGAGUCGCAGGGAAGUCGCCUUUGUUGGGAGAAUCUGUGCCUCCCGGUUCGAGCGGAGACUUCUAGUCUGGGUUGUGGUACGGGCUUAAAGGUGCCUCCCACAGUUGGGGCCCUCCCCAGGAUACCUCGUGAUUAAUAUAAAAAAAAAAAAACAACUGAUUGAUGAAAUUAAUGCCAUCAAUCUGCCUGUUAAUGUUGUUGACGCGUGUCAAAUUUUCAUGCAUAUUAGAAUUUAUUAGUGAGGUUGCAUUAUGGUCCAUAUCGUCAAUAACUUUAGCAGUCAAAUUUUACGCCACUGGAGUCAAAUUUUCAUGCAUAAAGCUGUUGGCUGGUCUGUUUGGCUCUACAAUGAUUUAUCUUUUCGACUUAAAAUGAUUCCAAAAAGCCAUCAGCAAUCUCUAGUGCAACUCUUCAAAAAAAAAAAUUAAAAUAAAAAUAAAAGUCUCAAAAAGUAUCAUUAAUUUAAUUCUAUUGUUUCCGGGUAAUCAGAACGUGUUUGAUAAAUAUUUAUAAGUUACAGUUUGAAAAUUAAAUAGAUUUUAUUUAACAAAAAGAUAUUGUUGACGCGUGUCAAAUUUUCAUGCAUAUUAGAAUUUAUUAGUGAGGUUGCAUUAUGGUCCAUAUCGUCAAUAACUUUAGCAGUCAAAUUUUACGCCACCGGAGUCAAGUGAUUUUUAAGCAGUUUUAUUCAACUGGUUACCUGAGUUCGAAUCUUAAAGAGAUAAAUAGUUAAAAAUGAAUUUAGACUUUGCCUACUCCUUUAAUAAAAAAAGAAGGUCAUUUAGUCUUAACUUUUGAAAUUUUUAUUUGACAUUUCGGCUUUAUAGCAUGCGAUGUAUUUUCUUAAAUUUUAUAAUUCCUUGAGAAUGUGCAAACAUUUUAUGAUAAAAUUACUUAAAAAUGUCGUUGAAACGAACUGAACUUUUUAUGUUGAAAGAAAGCCUUAUUAUUUUUCUGUACUUCUAUGUAAUGCUUUAUGGUUACAAAAUUCUCAUUGUUAUCACUCUUCUUGUGCAAGAUCUGUAAUGAAAGAUACUUUUCUGUCAAAUUUGUGUUCCUGAUAUUAAAAGUUCACAUGCUGGGGGGCUUCCUAUUUCAUCUUUGUCAUUCUACUUGUGCUUUGCUUCAUUGUGUAGCUACAGCAUUAUAAGCGUUACCAUAACUUAUCUGCAGCAAUUUUAUAAUUUACUAUUAUUGUGGUUGUUGCUGCUAUCAUUGUUCUACUAGUUGGAAAAUUCGAAUUCUUUUAGACGUGACAUUUAUCAUAUUAGAUAUUCAAGGUAUACAUACAUGCAUAUAUAUAUAUAUAUAUAUACUGGGUAUCUGUUUAGAUAUGAUGCAGAGAAAUGACAGAAGUUGUAUUAAGUGACGAAGAUUGAGCAGCAAAACAAGAGAUAGUUUUCAGCAAAUUAAAGACGUUGGCUCUGUUUGAUUUAGUUAGACUCACAAGUUUCUGCUCUGGCAAUUGCACUUUCAAAUUCCCAUCCUUGCAAGAUUUAACUGUGAUUGACUGUCCCAAGAUGAAGAAUUUUACUAGAGGAGAAUUAUGGAUGCCAUCUGGUACGGAGAGAGAGAAGAUGAAAGCCGUUGGGCUAAUGACCUUAACACAACCAUACAACAACUACAUGCAGAAACGGUAUGAUUAAUUCACUAUUCUAUCUCCAAUGGAAAAGUUUUACAAAAUUUGCAAUUUUUUAACAAAACGUAGAAAACUGAUCAUUGACAAGUUAGUUUGAUUCAUUAGAAUAUUCGCUAUUACUUUUGUAUUUAAUUCAUCAAACUGUCCUAUUUAAUAUUGACAUUUUCACAAAAGUUAGAUAAUGUUUUUCAAUUCUCACAAAUUCGUUAAUAAUUAGUUUUAAUUUCAUAAUAUGAAAAUCUUGUCAAAGAAAUUGUGUUAUUAAACUUAUUAAAUCUCUCGCUAGUGGCUUCCUUCCUAAUCUCCAUGUGCUUUAGUAUUUAUUUCCAAGUGCCUAAUUUUACGACUUUUAAUUUAGAUUAAUGAAUGACAAUUCUUAUUUUUUCAGCUGUUGGAGGGGCUUUCAUCUUAGUCGACUUUAUACAAGUAAUCUGAUCAAAUACAUUUUAGUACUUGGAUAAGAUGUGGAUUUGAAGACUAAAGAUCGCAGGUAACUAAUUUUAUUACUUAUGUACUUUUCUCAUGGUUUUGUUUCAUCGUUUCAUCUAAACUCUUUGGAAUGCAUUAAUUUUGUUUAUUGUUAAUUUGGAACGAAGUUUUAACGUAUCAUUCAGGGAUUUUGUUUGCAUCAUUGAGGGUUGUUUGGCCUUAACUUCUGAGGUUUUUGACAUUCAGCUUUAUAUUGUGCUAUUUUUUGUAAUUUUAUAACUUCUUGAAAGCAUGCAUAUAUUUUUUUUCUUAUCAUGAUGCCUCGAAAAUGUCAUUAGAAGGGACAGCAGUUUUCUUUUUCUUAUUUAUUUUCAAGUAUCUACGUUUGCGAAUUUUAGUUCAACUUGUUGAAUGGGAAUUUUGUUUUCAGCUACGUACAAGACGAUGCCGCUGCUGCUGCCAUUGUUACUGUCAUAGUUACUAUUACUCGAAAAUUUCAAGUAAUUUAGUUGUGAAAUUCAUUAUGUUAGAGAUAUUCAAAAUAUAUAUGAUGCUGAAAGAAAAGAGUGGACUUGUUGUCUCAGUUUGUCUCAUUUUGUUUUCUCCAACUCUAAUUUUCAAAUUUUAGAAAUAUGGUAAGAGAAGGAACAAAAUGAGUAAAAAAAUUGUCAAAAUAGUUGUAGCUAUGAACAAUUAUAUCCAAACACAUUUAGCAUCAAUCUACUUUGCCAAAUUUUUUAGUCAUCGUCUUUGCUCGGUUGUUUUAGUUUUUGCCCUGUUUGUUCUCUUUAUUUUGAUUGAGUUUGCUUUACAAAGUCUAUCUUUCAAAACUUAGAAGGCGAGGAAAGAGCGGGUAGGAAAUGCAAAAGGUAUCAAAUCAUGCAUAUGGUCAAAUGCUCCUGUAUAUGAACACAUAAAGAACAAUUGAAAUAUCAUUCACCGGAUAACACAAACAAAUAAAAAAAAAAAAAAAAAGAAGAAAGAGAGAAAAUCUAAUCGUCUCAUUAUCCCGAACACAAAUAAUUAAACCAUCAAAUGUUUGCAAUGAGCACAAUCAGAUCAUCUCUUUGGAAUAAUUACAUGUUGGCUUGGCCUAUUUUUUGGCCGGUAAAAAGGUUUUUGGCUGGAGCAUUUGGCCUUAACUUUUUUUUUUUUUUGAGUCUAUAUCAAUUGAUGCCACUAUGUCAAUAAUAAUUGGUAGGAAAUAAAUUAAUAUGUAACUAUAUCUUCUUAAUUAAUUAUUUGUUUUUUUAUCCAUUUACAUUGGAAAAAAGGGGUGCAGGGUCAGGAAGCUUCUUAGACGUGGCACGUUCAAAAGCUUUUUUUUUUUUUUGUCUGAACCACAUGGUCCUGAGUAGGCCCUAACUGUGGGAGAUACCUUUAAGCUCAUACCACAAUCCAAACUAAUCUCCACUCGCACCAGGUCGGCCCGUAAGGGAUAAAGUACUGGCUAAAGUGGUGACUCCAUAUAAGAGCGGGGCUUGAACCUCUGACCUCUCUUAAGAAGUGAGAGUGCCGAACCACUCUGUUCAAAAGCUUUUCUUUUUUAAAAGCUGCGUCAAGCAUGACACGUCAACAUCAUUUACAAGUGGGAACAACUCUUUUUCAUAAAAGAAAAGCCUUUUUUGUUUUAAAAUAAAGUUUUUUUGGAUGAUUCACUAUUACUAAUUGCCCAAGUCAUUCUAUUGCGAAUACAUGCAAAUUAAUAAAGAGACUUGUGGGGUUGCUGGAUAGAAAUUGUUGAAUACAUACAAAUUAUUGAACAGAAAUCCAAUAAUUGAACACCGGCCAAUUCUUGUCCAAUCAAAUUAAAACUCAAUUAAUAUAUUCCACUAAAUUUUUCGUACAACAUCCUAUUCAGAUGAAUAAAAUGUAAAAAAUAAAAUAUAUAAUUCAAAAAAUUAUAAAGGAUGCAAUUUAGCAGGUCAUACAAUAUACCAACAUCAUUUACAAGUGGGAACAACUCUUUUUCAUAAAAGAAAAGCCUUUUUUGUUUUAAAAUAAAGUUUUUUUGGAUGAUUCACUAUUACUAAUUGCCCAAGUCAUUCUAUUGCGAAUACAUGCAAAUUAAUAAAGAGACUUGUGGGGUUGCUGGAUAGAAAUUGUUGAAUACAUACAAAUUAUUGAACAGAAAUCCAAUAAUUGAACACCGGCCAAUUCUUGUCCAAUCAAAUUAAAACUCAAUUAAUAUAUUCCACUAAAUUUUUCGUACAACAUCCUAUUCAGAUGAAUAAAAUGUAAAAAAUAAAAUAUAUAAUUCAAAAAAUUAUAAAGGAUGCAAUUUAGCAGGUCAUACAAUAUACCAAAAAAAGUCUUGGGGGUGCAGUGGGAAUAUUUCUUGACAGAAAGAGUCUUAAAAAUUUUUUCGCCAGAAAACAUUUUCUCUCUCUGAUCUCUGUAUUCUUCAGAUCCUCCUCCUUGCUUGAACGUCUGUAACUUUGUCAUCCAUGAUUUGCAUUCAAUUCUUGACGAAAAAACCUUUUUCCGGAUUUUCAUCUUUUGAUCUCAAACAUGCUUUGCUUCUGUUGAUUGUGGUCGCUUCUAGUGCUAGUUCUCUUCUUAUAUAGCUUUGUUCCCUUUUGCCAUCAGCUCUUUGCAUUUCCUUGGAUGAAGAAACCUUUUUCUUGUUUCAAUUUUCUGAUCUCAAAAGCACUUUGAUUCUAGUCUGCCACACUGAUUUUGUCCUUGUUUUGUACAAACAUAAUUUCGCCAUUAUCUGUUUGAUUAUCAAUUGACCCGUCGUUGACUCUAUUCUAUUUCUAUGUGAAAAAUACGAAAAAAAAAAAAAAGAGAUUGAAGAUGGUGGAAAGCAUUGUUACUGUUGUUUUAGAAGUUGUGAAAUGCUUGGCUCCUCCGACACAACGCCAACUUGAUUACUUGCGAAACUACAAUGAAAACAUUCAGAAACUCGAGGCAGAAACCGAGAGCCUGAAGGUUGAAAUUAGGAGCAUUGAGCGCAGAGUUUUUGGGGCCGAAAAACAAGGAGAAAAGAGUGAAGAGAAAGUCGAGAAGUGGUUGGUUAGCGCCAACAAGAUCAUUGAUGAGGUGAAUGCCAAAUUCAUGGGAGAUGAAGAGACUGCAAAUAAGCGAUGUCUCAAGGGGCUGUGUCCUAAUUUGAAGGCUCGCUAUCAGCUUAGCAAGAAAGCAGAGACACAGGUGAAGGCCCUUGUUGAGUGCCGAGAAGAAGCCGGUCGACUUGAUAGAAUUUCCUACCUUACCUAUCCGGACAAGAUAUGGCUCAAGUCCCACAAAGGUUACGAGGCCUUUGGAUCAAGGCUUUCUACUUUGAAGUGUAUACAAAACGCUUUGACUGAUGUUAAUGUCAGCAUCGUUGGAGUGUACGGCAUGGGCGGCGUUGGAAAGACGACUCUAGCGAAGGAGAUCGUUAGGCAAGCCUUGGCAGACAAGCUCUUUGAUCAAAUAGCCUUUUCAGAGGUUUCCGAAACUGCAGACAUAAAAAAGAUUCAGCGGGAUAUUGCUGAGGACUUGGGUCUCGCAUGGCAUGAGGAAACUGAAUCUAGAACUGCGAGUAGACUGUAUGAACAGUUGAAGAAUGAGAAGAAGAUUCUUGUGGUUCUAGAUAACAUAUGGAAGCAUCUUGAUUUGGAGACUGUUGGAAUUCCUUUUGGUGAUGAUUAUAGAGGUUGUAAACUCUUGCUGAUAGCAAGAGAUCGUAAUGUUUUGUUGGAUAUGGAUUCUAAACAUAACUUCUUUAUUGACAACUUAAAUGAAGAAGAAGCUUGGAGAUUGUUUAAGACGAUGGCGGGUGAUUAUGUUGAAAAUCGUCAGCUGAAAUCUACAGCAACAGAUGUAGCCAAGGGAUGUGGAGGCUUGCCUAUUGCCUUAGCUACAACAGCAAGGGCAAUGAGAGACAAGACUGUGCAUGAAUGGAAGAAUGCCUUGCGAGAACUUCAGACGCCUUCAGUGAUGAACUUCGAAGGACUGCCGGCAGAUACUUAUGCAAGAAUCGAGCUGAGUUUCAAGUAUUUAAAAGGUGAGCAGCUCAAGAAAAUUUUUCUGCUUUGUAGUCUAAUGGGUAAUCCUAUUUUUACUUCAGACCUGUUUAAAUACUCCAUGGGUUUGGGUAUACUCCAAGGAGUCAAGAAGAUGGAAGAUGCACGAAACCAAUUAUAUGCAUUGGCCUAUAAACUUAAAGACUCUUGUUUGUUGCUUGAGGGAGGUAGCAGCGAACAAUUUUCAAUGCAUGACGUCGUUCGCGAUGUUGGCAUAUCAAUUGCUUACCGGGACCAACAUGUAUUUUUGGCAAAAAAUGAGGAUGUGUUGGAGCUGCCGGACAAGGAAGCACUUGUAAAUUGCUAUGCGAUUUCUAUAAGUGGUUGCCGUAUUCAGGAGCUUCCUCAAGGAUUGGAAUGCUUGCAACUCGAACUUUUAUAUAUAUCUCCCAAAGACUCUUACCUUCAAAUCAAUAUUCCUGAGAACAUUUUUGCAGGGAUGCGGAAGCUUAGAGUUGUAGAUUUUACUGGGAUGCAAUUAUGUUGCUUGCCAUCUUCAAUUGAUCUCUUAGUAAAUCUUCAAACACUAUGUUUGGAUCAAUGCAUGUUGAGUGACAUAGCAAUUAUUGGAAGGUUGAAGAAUCUGGAAAUCCUUAGCUUUUUAAAUUCAGAUAUUGUGCAGUUGCCUGAAGAACUAGGUGAAUUGACUAAGCUAAGGUUGUUAGAUUUAUCCAAUUGUUUCCAGCUAAAAGCUAUUGCACCCAAUGUCCUAUCAAGCUUAACUCGAUUGGAAGAACUCUACAUGAAAAAUUGCGUUAUCGAAUGGGAUGUUCAAAGACCCAAUGGUGGAAGAAGUACUGCCAGCCUUGGUGAGUUGUUGCAAUUGCCUCGACUGACCACUCUAGAAAUAGAUGUCAAAAAUGAUAGUAUUUUACCAGAAGGCUUUUUUGCAAAAAAAUUAGAAAGGUUCAAAAUAUCAAUAGGAGAUGAGUCAUUCAAGCCUCCGGUGCGUGCGGAUGAAUGGUUCGGUAGUCGGCCGGUUUUGAUCAGUGAUCCUUCGAGUCUAAGAACCAUAAAGCUGAAGCUUAGCUCAAAGCCUAUUUGCUCGAAGAAAAUGCAGGGCAUCCAGAAUGUUGAAUACUUGUGUUUGGACAAGCUGCAAGGUGUCAAGAAUGUUCUUUUAGAUAUGGACAUUGAGGGAUUUCUACAGUUGAAGCAUCUCCAUGUUCAAAAUAAUCCUGACUUCGUGUGCGUUGUUGACUCAACGGAGGGGGUACGUCGUGAUGUGUUUCCUCUUUUGGAGUCACUUACUCUUUACAAUUUGAUUAACAUGGAGAGGGUAUGUAUUGAUCGACUCAAAGUAGAGUCUUUCUGUGAACUUAAAACCAUACAGGUGGGAAAAUGUGAUGAGUUGAGUAAUAUCUUCUUGCUGUCUUCUAUAAGCUGCCUUCCCACACUUGAGAGGAUUGCAGUUUUUGAUUGCGAUAAGAUUGAAGAGGUCUUUGCAAUUGGUGGAGAACCAGAUGUCGACAACAAUAAUGCAGUGGAGAAGAUAGAGUUUGCAGCAGUAAAAUUUUUACAUCUGCAAAAUCUUCCGAAGCUUGCAAGUUUUUGCUCUGAAGUAAAGAGACCAAAUACACAAGGGUCGCAAGAGGAAUUGACAGCUACUACUUGCUCGACCGAAAUCAGUUUGUUGGAGGAGGACAAGCUUGAUACUUCGACACCGCUUUUCAACGAGAAGGUAAGCUGUUAUAAUGAAACCAAAGCAUUCGUUUUUCUUUCUCAACUUAUUCUAUCGUGCAUUUUCGUUUGAUGACAACUAUAGAAAAUGAAUUAUAAGGGAAAAAGAAAAUGAGAAUUGGAAAUUAGAAUCUCACACACUCACUCACUAAGCUCGCUUUACAUAUUAAUGAUGUGAAUUAAAUUGCAUAUUAAGUGUAUGUUUAGUAUGGUAAUAAUUCUCAAAAAAUCAUUUUUAGCACGGAUUUCUAAAAACUAUAUUUGAAAAAAGUUUAACACAAUGUUUUGUAAAUGGGUGAGCUAUUUGCACCUUAAAAAUUACUCUAAACACUCUAAUUGAAAUAAAAAUUUAUAACAAAAAUAUCUAUCAUAUGAAUUAUAUAAAGGACAAUUUAUUAUAAGUCAAUAUUACAUAAUUACUAUGAACGCCCCAUAUAACACACUCAUUAUUUAAUAUAUAUAAUUUUCAUGUUUUAAACCUUAAAACUUUUUUAUUUACAUCUUCAUCAAUACUUAGAUGAAUAAUGAUAAAAUCAAUAUUUUUCUUUUAUUUUUCCAUAAAUAAUCAAUAUCAAACGCGCACUGAAGCUGUCACUUGGAAGAUGAUUUGAUCUAACAAGAAAUUAAUGUUUAGGUUGUGUUCCCCAACUUGGAAGAUUUGGAGUUGAUUGGAAUUAAUGUCGAAAAGAUUUGGCACAAUCAACUUCCAGCCAUGUUUCCUCGCUUUCAAAGUUUAACAAAAUUAAUCGUGGGGAAGUGUCACAAAUUAAAAUGUAUAUUUUCGGCUUCUAUGCUCAGAAGCUUUGAGCACCUCCGACACCUGGAUAUAUGCAACUGUAUGGGUUUGCUUGAGAUUAUUUCCGAAGGAGCAGAUCAAGUGCCACCUUGUUUUAUCUUUCCGCGGCUGACAUUUCUAAGACUAGGUGAACUACCAGAACUUAGAUGUUUAUAUCCUGGAAUGCAUACUUCGGAAUGGCCGGCACUAAACUCGUUGAUGGUCUUUGGUUGUGACAAAAUAAAGUUAUUUGCUUCUGAGUUAUCUAGCUUCCAUGGAAACAUUGAUGAGAAUCAACUUCCUAUCCCAGCACAACAGCCUCUGUUCUUGAUCGAAAAGGUACAUAUGAAACCAUUUAUUUGAUCUUUUAUCGGUUGCAUCUUACUGUUUCUUAUGUUUUAUGUUUGGUUCUUCGAUGCAAAGAAACUCACAAACAAUAGAUUUUAGAAAUACCCGCUGUACAUGUAUGUGUUACUCAAAAUUGUUUGACAGAACAUCAAUUGAACUAAUUAGUUUUUAUGUGAGUUGAUGAUGUUCAGAUCCUCCCCAACUUGGAGAAUCUGCUAUUAAGUGGAAAGGAUUUCAGGAUGAUUUUGCAGGAAGAUUACCCACAACACCUCUUUGGCAGUCUUAAAUACAUUGAGGUUGUGGAAGAUGACUCAGCUUGUUUUCCGCUUGGUUUACUUGAGAAGUUUCGCAAUCUGGAAAUCCUCUAUCUGAGUGGUACUUCAUACACAGAGAUAUUAUCAAAUGAAGGACACUCGGAGAAGCACGUGGGCAAGUUCUCACAAGUAAAACAUUUACAGCCGUACAAACUGACUGAUCUGAAGCAGCUGUGGAAACAAGGCUCCAAACUAGACUUCAUUUUCACAAAUCUUGAAAUUCUACGAGUAUAUUGUUGUCAAAAUCUGAUUGUUCUAUUGCCAUCGUCAUCGUUAUCUUUCCGAAAUCUGACGGAUCUGCAAGUUUGGGGUUGCAAGGAAUUGAUGAAGUUGGUAACAUCCUCCACAGCAAAGAGUCUAGUGCGACUCAGGAUAAUGAAGGUAUGUGGAAGCAGAGCAAUGACACAAGUGGUAACAAGUGAGAAAGAUGGAGCAGAAGAUGAAAUUGUUUUCAGCAAUUUGAAGGCGUUGACUCUGCUUGAUUUAGAUAGUCUCACAAGUUUCUGCUCUGGCAAUCACACCUUCAAAUUCCCAUCUUUACGAGAUUUAGAAGUGAUUGGUUGUCCCAAGAUGAAGAUUUUCACCACAGGAGAAUUAUGUACACCGCCGAGAGUAAACGUGUGGUAUGGAGAGGGAGAUGGUGAAUGUCGUUGGGCUAAUGACCUUAACGUU